rnacentral:sRNA from 1 species
CAAAUUCAGAAACCCUGCUCAACGAGCAGGGUUUUUUUGUAUCUGAAGCCUGACGAGGAUGAGAACCUCCGGGGGCAAGAGGUUCGACCCGAGCGAAGCGAGAGAACGUUGCGUCAGCAACGGCCCGCAGGGCGAGCCACGCAGUGGCGAGUCAUCCUCUAUCACCGACCAAAUUCAGAAACCCUGCUCAACGAGCAGGGUUUUUUGUAUCUGAAGCCUGACGAGGAUGAGAACCUCCGGGGGCAAGAGGUUCGACCCGAGCGAAGCGAGAGAACGUUGCGUCAGCAACGGCCCGCAGGGCGAGCCAUCCUCUAUCACCGGCA